rnacentral:rRNA from 1 species
CACAUGCAAGUCAACUUGACUGAAGGAGCAAUCUGACAGUAGAGUGGCGCAAGGGUGCGUAACGCGUAAGUAACUUGCCCAAGUAAGGAAUAACGUCGAGAAAUCGGCGCUAAUACCUCAUAAUGCAGCGGAUCGCAUGGAUAUGUUGUUAAAGGUUUACCGCCUUGGGAUAGGCUUGCGUCUGAUUAGUUAGUUGGUGUGGUAACGGCACACCAAGGCUACGAUCAGUAACUGGUCUGAGAGGAUGAUCAGUCACACUGGAACUGAGACACGGUCCAGACUCCUACGGGAGGCAGCAGUGAGGAAUAUUGGGCAAUGCUCGAAAGAGUGACCCAGCAACGCCGCGUGGAGGAUGAAGGUAUUCUAUAUCGUAAACUCCUGUGAGAGCAGACGAAAGACAGAUUAUUAAUCUGGAUGACUGUAUGCUCAGAGGAAGCCCCGGCUAACUACGUG